AUGUCUGGGAGUCUUGCUGAAGGAGAAAGCCUUGAGUUGAGGAUGGAGAACGGAGAGAGAGGCGAAGAAUUGGCUUCUCACAAGAAUGAGCCAACAGCCUCUGAGGGCCUCGACAAGUUCCAGCGAUUGAAGCCCACAAUACUCGGAGCGAUUGAAGUGGUAAUUGGGAUCUCCAUGGCACUGACCGCAGUUACGUAUCUGGCUGUCGAUGUCGACCUCGACAUAACAUCAAUCCUCUUCUGGGGAAUCUUCAUCUACAUCCCUGCUGGGGGUUUGACCAUCGCUGCUGACAGGAAACCCACCAGGGCCAAGGUGUGCGCUGCGUUGGGGAUGAAUGUGCUGGUGGCUCUCUCGACCGUCGCUGGAAGUGUUCUUCAUUUCUUUGCUAGUGUACUAUUUGCGUACCCUCCCUGCCACCUUGGUUGUAAACAUUUGAGAAAUACUGAAUUGUUCAUGCUGGCAGCGUCCAUCUUGCUGUUCAUCGUCUCCAUACUGGUUGUUUCCUCUGCAGUGGCUGCUCUGUGUUCCUCUAGAAAGCCGUCAAAAGAAAACACAGUAAUCUAA
rnacentral:lncRNA from 1 species